rnacentral:rRNA from 1 species
CCCCUAGAUGUUCUGGGCCGCACGCGCGCUACACUGAACAGUUCAACAAGUCUUAACCUUGGCCGAUAGGUCUGGGUAAUCUUUGAACGCUGUUCGUGAUUGGGAUAGACCUUUGCAAUUAUGGGUCUUCAACGAGGAAUUCCUAGUAAACGCAAGUCAUCAGCUUGCAUUGAUUAUGUCCCUGCCCUUUGUACACACCGCCCGUCGCACCUACCGAUUGAAUGGUCCGGUGAAAUCUCGGGACGGCGGCUUGGUCGCUUGCGUCCGACUGCUGAAACUUGAUUAAACCAUAUCAUUUAGAGGAAGGUGAAGUCGUAACA